rnacentral:rRNA from 1 species
UACAGAGGGUGCAAGCGUUAAUCGGAAUUACUGGGCGUAAAGCGUGCGUAGGUGGUUCUUUAAGUCAGGUGUGAAAUCCCUGGGCUCAACCUAGGAACUGCAUUUGAUACUGAAGAGCUAGAGUGUGGUAGAGGAUAGUGGAAUUCCCGGUGUAGCGGUGAAAUGCGUAGAUAUUGGGAGGAACACCAGUGGCGAAGGCGGCUCACUGGACUGGUACUGACGCUGAGGCGCGAAAGCGUGGGGAGCAAACAGG